rnacentral:rRNA from 1 species
GUGGCGAACGGGUGAGUAACACGUGAGUAACCUGCCCUUGACUCUGGGAUAAGCCUGGGAAACUGGGUCUAAUACCGGAUAUGACUCCUCAUCGCAUGGUGGGGGGUGGAAAGCUUUUUGUGGUUUUGGAUGGACUCGCGGCCUAUCAGCUUGUUGGUGAGGUAAUGGCUUACCAAGGCGACGACGGGUAGCCGGCCUGAGAGGGUGACCGGCCACACUGGGACUGAGACACGGCCCAGACUCCUACGGGAGGCAGCAGUGGGGAAUAUUGCACAAUGGGCGCAAGCCUGAUGCAGCGACGCCGCGUGAGGGAUGACGGCCUUCGGGUUGUAAACCUCUUUCAGUAGGGAAGAAGCCGCAAGGUGACGGUACCUGCAGAAGAAGCGCCGGCUAACUACGUGCCAGCAGCCGCGGUAAUACGUAGGGCGCAAGCGUUAUCCGGAAUUAUUGGGCGUAAAGAGCUCGUAGGCGGUUUGUCGCGUCUGCCGUGAAAGUCCGGGGCUCAACUCCGGAUCUGCGGUGGGUACGGGCAGACUAGAGUGAUGUAGGGGAGACUGGAAUUCCUGGUGUAGCGGUGAAAUGCGCAGAUAUCAGGAGGAACACCGAUGGCGAAGG